GUUACGUUUUAUAUGUCUGGUAUUUUGAUACUCUGCCCUCCUCAUAUGUUUCUGUUAGCGGGAGCUAAUGUUUAUGUCAGCUAUGCUACUUUAGCUGUUGGGAGCUAAGUCCGUGUAUUUUUAUUGUCUCAUUCUGCACAGUUUGAAUCUUUAAUCCAUAAAAAAUGAUCUCUGUGUGGUUAUUACAGUAUCUGUUUUGCCCAAAAGGUUCCAAUCACAUUUCUAAGUCAAGUUGCUGACUGAUAUUUGUAUCUAUAGUUUGUGAGAUAUUCUGAUUUGCCUUUUACUUUAUUCACUAAGUAAAUAUAAUUAAGUGAAAUAAAUUGCCUUUCCAUUCUAGUUUGUUGACUUUCUGUGUAUAAAUAACAUUUUAUAUUUAUCUCUACACAGGAUGAAACGGCUGACUGAUGGAUUGGGUUCUGGUGUUAUUUCACUUUCUGGAUGAUCAGGAUCUUUCAGAUCUCAUCUACCUUCUGGUCCGAUGGAGCUGCUGCAGGAACACACUGAUCCUCUAACAGGAUGCUCAGAUCCAGGCAUCAAUGUCUGGUGUCCUGCAACAUUUAGAUAUGUCCUGGUCCAACACAUCUGAAUUAAAUGGCUGCUUAGGACAGUCAAGUCCUCCAGAGUCGUGCUAAUGACCUCUGACCUCAUGAUUUGACUCAGGUGUGUUAAAGAAGAGACAUCUAAAGGUUGGAGGACACCGACCCUUACGAACUGGAGUUAAAGCCCAUCUGUACAAUUUUCAUUCAAUCGUAAUCACAAUUACCUGCAUACAGUGGAAAUUUUACCUGAGUUGAGGUAGAUGAGGAGUUUACAUAGUGUCUUUACUUUAAAACAAUUUUGGUUUCCAUUUGUUGAAAGUAAAUUACAAACAUUUAGCCAUAGUUUGACCACUGCUUUAUGACAGAAAAAAGUUUGAUGUCACAAAUAUAUGAUUUUAAUAGAGGCAUCAUUCGAUUUAUACAGUAGAAAGAAGAUGACAAGUGUUUCCUGAAUUAACUUUAAUGUUCACCUCACUGCACACAAAGGACAGAUUAAAUAUUUAAGAUUGCAACAAAUCUGAUGAAUCUGUAACAAAAUAGGUUCAGAUUAACAUGGGUGGAUUCACAGCGACCUAAAGUUAACAAUGAAAUGUCUUCAAACUUACAUGGAUGUUCAAAUAUUGACUAUAAUCAAUUAACAAAACACCAUAAAGCUGUGUAUUCAAAUACGACCAAGGUCAGUCUGUACAGAUUAAGGAGACACCAUAACAUCUACCAACAGAGCAGGUUAACUACUGUAGUUUGAAAGGCGUCUUGGUUCAGUUGACGGCUCAGUUUGAAGCUUCAGGUUUUGGUGUUGAACCUCCUAGAAUCUCAGCUGCUGCAGAUUUUCUUUAAUUUUGUUAUGGUGAAUAAAGUCUAGCUGCAGAUGAUGUUCCUGCAGGUCCAGAUCUACCUUCAUUACUGCUGAAGCAACAAAAUACAGUUUCAGUGAUAGUGACCAACAUCUACAACUGCCAUAAUCUCCUGAAGAUGCUUGUCGACUUCGGCAUCAUAAAACUUAAUCAACCUGUGUUAAAGUUAAGACUGAAGACGGACUAUCAAACUGUGUGACAGUAAAAAUCCAUGCUUAGCUCCCAACAGCUAAAGUAGCAUAACUGACAUAAACAUUAGCUCCCACUAACAGAAACAUGAGGAGGGCAGAGUAUCAAAUACCAGAAAUAUAAAACGUAACCUGAAAUCAGUUAUAAUUACUCCAUGUCUCAUAAUCAGAGGGCAAAGCCUGCAGGUUUAGCUCCUACUUACUUCAGAGGACAGACCAGCGGGACGCUCCGUCUUGCUUCUGGGAUUGCCUGGCUAUUUUUCCAGCCAGCGAACCAUUCCGCCACCCAGUGGCCCUUUUUCAGACCACUUAGUCUCCUGUACCGCUCAACAAUGCUCAAUAUGUCUGUAAAUAAUUUUAGGAUAUUAUAAGGAAGUGCUGAGAUAUUCCGUUUUCCACGAACUAAAGUAUUUGGCCCUUCGGCACAAGCACAAUGAGAAACGUCAGAGGAUAAAAACACGAGACUCAGAGCAAAACUUAGAUAUCCCAGCUUUUAAUAGUAUGUAAAAGC